AUUUUUCUGCUCCGUACGUUUGCAGGUCGGGUAUAUCCCUUGAGCCUAAUUUCGUACCCCGGGGAAACGUUUGUUGUUUGAUGUGUGCAUGUCCGCUACGUGCGGAAAGCCUGAUUCGGCAACAAUAUCCCCACCUGAACCGACUGGUUCAAGGUAGCACGCCUGCGACGGCGGUAGUGGUGAAUAC
rnacentral:other from 1 species